rnacentral:rRNA from 1 species
UACGUAGGGUGCAAGCGUUAAUCGGAAUUACUGGGCGUAAAGCGUGCGCAGGCGGUGAUGUAAGACCGAUGUGAAAUCCCCGGGCUUAACCUGGGAAUGGCAUUUGGGACUGCAAGGCUGGAGUGCGGCAGAGGAGACUGGAAUUCCUGGUGUAGCAGUGAAAUGCGUAGAUAUCAGGAGGAAUACCGAUGGCGAAGGCAGGUCUCUGGGCUGACACUGACGCUCAUGCACGAAAGCGUGGGGAGCAAACAGG